GGCUAUGGAAAUGGAGAUGGGGAAAUGAAAAGCUUCCAUUGAGGCACAGAGGAAAGCCGUUAAAGGUGGGGCUGUGAGUUCAAAGUGUAUGAUUUAAGAUGUGGUGAGCCAGUUAACCUGAUCAGAAUCAUUUGAUGGAGGUUGUUUAAAAUGCUGGUGGUUGGACCCCCUCCAGAUCUCCCCCUGCCCUCCUCCCCGAGUCUGAUCCCCUGGGGCUUGGGCCCUCCAGAUCUAUUUUUAAUAAGCUUCUCUGGAUUUUCUGAUGUACCCUAUAGUUGAGAACCAACUAGAGCCAUUUGGUGGAACCGGCAGGGAUGCAGGGAUAAGCGUUCACCAGUUUUGUUUUUGUUUUCCAGUCUUCAUAUCUGUCCUGGAGCCCCGAGAGAGAUCCCAGGAAAGCCACUUGAUUUUCCUGGUCACUAUUAGUCACUCAAUUCUUCUGUCACCUCAAACCAUGGAAAAGUCUUGUUUUAGAAAAUCUAUCUCAUAUUGAUAGGGAUGGAGUAGGAUACAUGGGUAGUUGUCGAAGUCCCAGUAAGGGACCACAGAUAGAGAGGGAAUCCUAGGGAACUUUGGGAGAUCACUUUUAAGUUAAUAGCUCGCAAGGCCAUCAGAAUCAGGCAGCCUUGCUUGACUAGUGGAGGAAAAAGAGAUAUGCCCCAGGCCAUUGGGUGGGAGAUGGGGUGAAGCCUGCAUUGAAGUUCAGACCAAGGGCGGGAGUUUAAGGGGAGUUUAAGGACCACCUUUCUGCUGAUUUAAACAAGCACCAUGCCAGUCCUAGCUUGACCACAUAGGGUCAAAUACUCUCUUACAGGUUACAAGGGAAGAGCUACUGCUACAAGAAAGAGAAAGAGGAGGUCUUUUCCCACCCCCGUUCCCCUUGGGUUAUAAAACUGUAGCCCACCUAAUCCUCACGGCAGAGCCUUCUUGCCUGCCUGCUUGCAUCUCUCACAAGAAUCUUAUAUUAAUAAAUCUAUUUCUUGCCUAUCCCUUUGUCUCUUGCUGAAUUCCUUCUGUGCCGAGACAUAAAACCUGAACCUCUAAGUCCAGACACCGGGUGAGUGAUUCUAAUUUAAAAACCAUGGGUUCAGGUCCCAAUCUGGGUUCUGACUAGGUUCAAGUCAUAAGUGGUGUUAGUUUCAAUAUGGUAUUUCAGCUUCCAUUGAAAUAUUUUAUUUGUAUUUUUUAACUUUCAUUUUAAUUUUAUUAUUUAUUUAAUCCAUAAAUAACUGAUUUUUAUUGGCAUGCUUUGGGUCCACUCAACAAAUUAUCUCCAAGUUUUUCAGAGCCACCCUGGAAGGAUGGAGACAGUGACAAGGUAGAAAAAGUCUUGCUUUUUCUUUAGCACAACAUUCCAGAGAAUAAACUCUUUUGAUUUUUCCAGGUCCCCAAAUUAGUCUUCAUAUGUGUUUGUCCCACUAUUCAGGUUUUUAACGUAGUAUCCAUGAUUUAAAUGUCAAGAACUCUGCUUAUUUUUAUUGUUGGCAGUCUAAUUUUGAUUUAAGAAUAUGAUAUCUACUCAACAAUCUCUCAGUGUGUUAAUUAUACUUAUUUUAGAGUUUUCUUCUGAUUUAUUUUUUAUUUUUUAUUUUUUAGGGCCGCACCUGUGGCAUGUGGAAGUUGUCACACUAGGGGUCAAAUUGGAGCUGCAACUGCAGGCCUACACCAUAGCCACAGCCACACCAGAUCUGAGGUGUGUCUGCAACCUGCACCACAGCUCAUGGCAAUGCUGGAUCUUGAACCCACUGAGAAAAGUCAGGGACUGAACCUGCAUCCUCAUAGAUACUAGUCGGGCUCAUUACCCCUGAGCCAGGAUGGGAACUCCUCUUCUGAUUCUUGUAUUAGCUCCACUUAAUUUGGGGUUAGUUCCUCUGCUUAUUCAGCCUCUUACCUCUAUUUCACGGUGUGUUUGCCUGAACUCUUUGGUUAUCUGGCUUGAUUAGUGUGGUUUCUUUAGCACAACUGAAAACCACUGGGGCAGUGAAUGUGGAUUGUGAUUACAAGGCGUUUGAUGCAGAGGGAGUUCUCCUUUAAGGAGUGCAGAAAGUGCUUACAUUCUGGGCAUGUGGACUACUUGUCUUUUGGGCCAGUUGAAAGGGACUUGGGGACACUGAUCUACUUCUCUCCCAAGCCCCCAUCCUUCCUCAGGGAAUUCUCCUGUGGCAUAGAUCCCCUACUUUAUUAAGAGGAUUUUUCUUUCAACAGGACAAUCAGUCAUGUGUGGGUGAUUUAAUAUUAGGUUAUAUAAUUUAUCCUAUUAACAGAUCAAAGGAGAAAAAUUAUUUAAUUUUGAUAAAUGCAAAACCGGAUAUUUAAUAAAUUUCAAAAUCCAAUGCUGAUUUUUAAAUAUUUGGUUAUGUAACAGUAAGGGGAUAUGUACUUAACAUGACAAAAUACGUGAAAAUUGACACACAUUUGUAUCUAUUGCCCAAAAAACCCCCAGUGUUUGCUUAAUAGUAAAAUGUUAAAAAGUUUCUACUGAAGUGAGGAAUAAAAUGAGGCAUGUAAUGCAUAUUGUGGUAUAAAAUUUAAACGUGACAGAAAAUGUAAUGAAAAUCAAAAGCCUCUCCCUCCAUGAUUCUGCACACUUGAAAUAACCAAUAUUAAUAGUUCGAUGCCUUUUUUUCACUAAUUUUACUUUCCUAAGCCAAUACUAUGAUUUAUUAUGUUUAAGAGAUAAUAUAGUCUAUUAUUAUUUUUGGGGAUGGUCACAAAUGGAAUUAAAGAACUAGCCAAUAUAUUUAGAUAAGAGUAUAAAGUAGCACAGCAAUUUUAACUGAGGACACAAAGUUGUUAUUUACAGAUGUUUCAAUGGGCCAUUGAUGUGUAACAAACUACCCCAAGACUCAGUGGCCUAAGACAACAACCAUUUAUUUGCUCAUGGGUCUGCCAGUUGGGGUUGUCCCUCUCUUUCUCUCCUGUCUCCCUCUCUCUCUCUCCCUGACCUUUCCCUAUGGUCUUUCCAGCAGGGGAACCCGACUUCUUACAAGGUAGAUCUGGGCUCCCCAAACCACAAAAGUGGAACCUUCUAGGCUUCCUUGAAGCUUAGGCACAGUGUCACUUCCUCUGUUGUCUGCUGAUGAAAAGCAAGUCACAGGCCCUUCCCAGAAUCAAGGGCAAGAAACUGCACAAGGGUGUGAAUUCUGGGAGGUGUGGUUUACUGGAACCAUGGUUUUAAAGACUACCACCACAUGACAUGGUUUUAGUUAUAGACAACCCAAAAGAAUCAACUGGAAAGUGAUGAAGAACAAUGGGGGGGUUCAGUCAAAUGAUUGGUGACAGAUCAGAUAAAGCUAAGUAUAUACUUAUAACAAUGUUACAAAGUUUUACGGAAUUAAAGAUAGUAUUUAUAAUACCACUAAUAAUUAUUUCAUGAAUAUUUAUUUAGCUACUACCACAUAACGAGUAUUGAUACAGAAAUACAUAAAUAGAAACAUAUUUAUCCAUCAUGAAACUUACAGUCUAGACAAUACAUACAUUAAGCAAAGUCUGUGAUGUUGGAAGGAACUUUGCCCAUUAGUGAGUUAUUGUGGUGUAACAAACAAUCCCAAAAUCUUAGUGGCUUAAAAGAGUAAACAUCUAUUGUUCUGCUGAAGAGUUCAAGUUGCUUAGGGCAAAGCAAUUUUAGUGUAAGGGGUGGGUUCAGAUCUGCUGUACUUGUCCCUCAGUCUGGGACCAGCAGCUAGUCAGAGUGUUAUUUUUCCUGCCACAUGGCAGGAGGAUAAGCCAAACCAUGUCAGCACAUUUAAAAAGGCCCCUAUUUGCAUCAUUUACUUAUAUUCCAUUUGCCCAAGCAAAUCAUGUGGCCAAGUCCAAUACAAUGAGACAAAGAUGUAUAAUUCUAUUACAUGAACAAAGUAAGGGUAAGAAAUAAUAAUAUAGUCAACCACUGUCAAUAAUCUGAAGAACUGGAGGUGUGGUUUCCUGGAGAUGUGGUGCACUGUCUGAAGAGCUAGAUAGGGGGCCAGAUCAUUUAGGGCCUUGUUGGCCUUGCUAAAGAUGUUGAAUGGCAUGGAAGUGCAAAGCCAAGCCACUGGAGAUUUUUAAGCAGGAGAGUGACACGGUCAGUUUACUGUUAAAAAAAUGCUACCAUAUAAAGAAUGGCUUGGAAGAAAGAGGAAGAUUUGAAGAGAGUAGGUAUGAAGCUAUUGAAAUAAGUUAAGAUGGUGGCUUGGCUUGGACAAGGAAAGUGACAGUAUAAAGGGAAGUAUAAAGGGUUUGAGAUCUAUUUUAGAAAUAUAAUGAUUAGGCUUGGUCAGGAAUGGGAUGUGAGUUUGAGGGAGGGCUCAGGUAAGACUCAGAUGCCUGACAAUUGCACCGGGUCAAUACACAUGCCCCAAAUGCACUCGGUAAAGAAACAUAUUUGAGGAGGUCGAUUAAAAGUUUAGUUUUGGAUUUACCAGGUUCUGUAUACUUGUGAGACAAUACUCAUAAAACACCUAGGGAUAAACUUAACAAGCAAUGUGAAGAAUCCAUAUGAAUAAAACUAUAAACCUCUAUGGAGGGCCAUAAAAGAAGAUUUGAAUCAAUGGAGUGUCAAACCUUGCACUUGGAUAGGAAGACUCAAAAUUGUAAAGAUGUCAAUUUUCACUAAAGACAUCUAUAAAUUCAAUGCAACUUCAAUCAAAAUUUCAAUAGUGUUUUUUUCUUGGAACUUGCAGCAAUUACCAGGACCAUUCUCUAAAAGAAGUGUAAUGAGAAAUAACCUGUUCCAUCAUGUAUUAAAAUACAUUAUAAAGCAAGAAGAUUUAUAACAGCAGAGUAUAGACGGAAAAAUAGAUUGAUAGCUCAAUGGCGUUGAAUAAAGUAAAGAAAUUGUGGAUCCAAGAACAGAUGAGGGUUUAGUAUAUCCCAGGGAUACCAUAGCCAAGUGAUGGAGAAAAGUCAUAUUAUUCAAUGAAAGAUUUAAAGACAACUGGAUAGCUAUUUAGAGAAAAAUAAUAAAGCAGCAUCUACAAAGCUCCACUUCUCUUUUUUAUCUGCUAUAUACUAUUCCAUAGCUUCAGGAUAGCAUCUUUUAGUAAGUCAUAAUCAUAUGGAUGUAAUUUUAGUUUCUUCUUUUUUUUAUAAAAAAUAGCAUGAAAAGGAAAUUUUUAUAUAGCAUCUUUGGACAAAUGUGUGAAACCUUCUCUGGGAUACAUUCCAAGAUGUGAAAUUGCUGAGUCAGAAAGGAUGUACUGUGGGGUUUUUUUUGUUUUUGUUUUUGUUUUUUUUAAGUACUGCUGUAUUUUCCUUUGAAAUCUCAAACUACACUCCAAGCAGCAGUGGGCAAGAAAACAAAACCAAAAUAAAUCCCAAUAAAACAGAUGGAUCAAGUUAAUAAAAGUAAAAGCAGAAACAAAUG
ensembl:lncRNA